UACUCGGCUGAAAUUGUGGAAAAAAAUAUUUUAUGAGAAAUCUGAAAUCACUAACUACUCAUCAGUACACUUACUUCUUACCUGUGGCUGAGGAGCAAACAAACCAACAAAUUCAUCAGGAAAACUUCCUUCCUUUGAUAUCAUCAACCAUUACGACAACUACAACAGAACAUUCAUAGUUAUACAUUUCCUCACGUGAGUAUAAUUUGCCAAAUCAAAAAGCAGAUAUAGGAUUCAAGACAUAUGGACUAAAGUUGCAUGAACAUGGUAUGCAUAGUGUUAAUUUGCAGGGACUUCAGUUUGGUCAGUACAAUAUUUUGUGAUAUCCAUAUUACUUAAGAAAAAAAAAAAAAAAAAGUGCCGCUACCAAGAAUUAGAUAUGCUUCAAUUAGUUCAUAUUCCUGAGCUCUGGAACUAAAGUGGGCAGCUCAUUUAAGAGAGCUAUGAGCUAUUUCUUUAACCUGAUCGACCAUCUGCUGUCUUUUUGAGUGUGUUAGAGGUUUGAUUAAAGUAUAUUGGAAGAUUAAGCUAAUUAUGAAGCUGCCACGAUGAUUCGUAGAGUUCAGCAAGCAAAUGUCGGAGCUGUAGAAGGUUCAGUGAGAAGGCUGAGCACUGUUUCAUGUUAAUAUUACUGGUCAUUCAAGAUGGUUGACAGGUAAUUAAAGCUCCCUAAGGAAAUUGUGGUAGUUUUAUUUUGUAGUUCCUUGUUUUCAUCUCUGUAGAAGAAGCACUAUUACAGCUUGCAUUUGUAUUCAUAAUUCAUAAUUCAUAAUUCAUAAUUUAUUUCAUUUUGUUCUUUUGCUCUUUGUUACAAGGGAAAGGAUAAAAUGUAAUUGU